rnacentral:rRNA from 1 species
UUCCGGCGGCCAAGGCGGAGGGGCCACACCCGACUCCAUUCCGAACUCGGAAGUUAAGCCCUCCAGCGCCGAUGAUACUUGGGGCAUACCCCUGGGAAAGUAGGACGCUGCCGGAAC